rnacentral:rRNA from 1 species
UCGGGAAUCUUGCACAAUGGGCGAAAGCCUGAUGCAGCAACACCGUGUGAGCGAUGAAGGCCCUAGGGUCGUAAAGCUCUGUUGUUGGGGACGAAGGCCGAAAGGUUAAUAGCCUCUAGGCUGACGGUACCCUUCGAGGAAGCUCCGGCUAACUACGUGCCAGCAGCCGCGGUAAUACGUAGGGAGCGAGCGUUGUCCGGAAUUAUUGGGCGUAAAGAGCGUGUAGGCGGUCUGGUAAGUCUGCCGUGAAAACCUGGGGCUCAACCCUGGGCGUGCGGUGGAUACUGCCAGGCUAGAGGAUGGUAGAGGCCAGUGGAAUUCCCGGUGUAGCGGUGAAAUGCGCAGAUAUCGGGAGGAACACCAGUAGCGAAGGCGGCUGGCUGGGCCAUACCUGACGCUGAGACGCGAAAGCGUGGGGAGCGAACAGGAUUAGAUACCCCGGUAGUCC